CCGAAACUGGUUCGAAAACCUCCCAGUAUAAAAAACUAGGCAAAG
rfam:Ruminococcus sp. CAG:17 genomic scaffold, scf209